GAGUUUGAUCAUGGCUCAGAUUGAACGCUGGCGGCAUGCCUUACACAUGCAAGUCGAACGGCAGCAUGAUCUAGCUUGCUAGAUUGAUGGCGAGUGGCGAACGGGUGAGUAAUACAUCGGAACGUGCCCUGUAGUGGGGGAUAACUAGUCGAAAGAUUAGCUAAUACCGCAUACGACCUGAGGGUGAAAGUGGGGGACCGCAAGGCCUCAUGCUAUAGGAGCGGCCGAUGUCUGAUUAGCUAGUUGGUGGGGUAAAGGCCCACCAAGGCGACGAUCAGUAGCUGGUCUGAGAGGACGAUCAGCCACACUGGGACUGAGACACGGCCCAGACUCCUACGGGAGGCAGCAGUGGGGAAUUUUGGACAGUGGGCGAAAGCCUGAUCCAGCAAUGCCGCGUGUGUGAAGAAGGCCU
rnacentral:rRNA from 1 species